rnacentral:rRNA from 1 species
UACAGAGGUCUCAAGCGUUUGUUCGGAUUCAUUGGGCGUAAAGGGUGCGUAGGCGGCGCGGUAAGUCGGGUGUGAAAUCUCGGAGCUUAACUCCGAAACUGCAUUCGAUACUGCCGUGCUUGAGGACUGGAGAGGAGACUGGAAUUUACGGUGUAGCGGUGAAAUGCGUAGAUAUCGAUAAGGAAGACCAGUGGCGAAGGCGGGUCUCUUGGACAAGUUCCGUGACGCUGGAGGCACGAAGGUCAGGGGAGCAAACGGG